GGCAGAGGUGCCGAGCGUUAGGCGGAAUCACUGGGCUUAAAGCGUGUGUAGGCGGGCGGGCAAGUACCUUGUGAAAUCCCACGGCUCAACCGUGGAACUGCUGGGUAUACUGCCUGUCUUGAGCCAGCCAGGGGCAGUCGGAACAGACGGUGGAGCGGUGAAAUGCGUAGAUAUCGUCUGGAACGCCAAAGGUGAAAACAGACUGCUGGGGCUGUGCUGACGCUGAGACACGAAAGCCAGGGGAGCGAACGGG
rnacentral:rRNA from 1 species